GUGGGGAAUUUUGGACAAUGGGCGCAAGCCUGAUCCAGCAAUGCCGCGUGCAGGAAGAAGGCCUUCGGGUUGUAAACUGCUUUUGUACGGAACGAAACGGCUCUGGUUAAUACCUGGGGCUAAUGACGGUACCGUAAGAAUAAGCACCGGCUAACUACGUGCCAGCAGCCGCGGUAAUACGUAGGGUGCAAGCGUUAAUCGGAAUUGCUGGGCGUAAAGCGUGCGCAGGCGGUUUUGUAAGACAGGCGUGAAAUCCCCGGGCUCAACCUGGGAAUGGCGCUUGUGACUGCAAAGCUGGAGUGCGGCAGAGGGGGAUGGAAUUCCGCGUGUAGCAGUGAAAUGCGUAGAUAUGCGGAGGAACACCGAUGGCGAAGGCAAUCCCCUGGGCCUGCACUGACGCUCAUGCACGAAAGCGUGGGGAGCAAACAGGAUUAGAAACCCUGGUAGUCC
rnacentral:rRNA from 1 species